rnacentral:lncRNA from 1 species
UCAAACAAGGCAUCAUUCACAACUCCUGAAAGCUGAGUGCCAUUCCGGAGUGUUAUGUCUUUACAUUAUUCUUUCCUUGAGAUCUAGAACUUUUUCUAUCACUAGGCAAUGCUCCUUGUUUUCUGGAGCUUAAUGCAGUGGCAAUUUAACCCACUUGAUUCUCCAAAGCUCUUAAAGAAGUUGUCUGGCUCUGAAUAAUUGCAUCAUUCUUGGCCAUAUACUCUUUUAAUAAAGCUUUCAUUCAAACCCCAA